GGCGUAUAUAAGGGCGGCAUGGCAGGCGCCGGACGGGGCAUUGGCAGCAGGGGCGCGCGGGCGCAGCAGCUGGAGGAGCGGAGCGGGCGCCUGGCUGCUGCGGUCCCCUGCCCUGGCCGCUCAGCGGCAGCCGGGGGGCCCGGCGAAUUGCGCCCGGGGCUGCGGCCGGAGCAGGGCUGGGCUCCCCUUGCGGCCGGACCCGGAGGUCCCGUGCGGGGAGAGGUGUUGGCAGCCCUCGCUGCGCCUUUGCCUCGGCUGGGGCGCCGGCGGGCCGGUCCCUCUCCGGAGCGCGGAGCAUCCGCCGGCGAGACGCGGUUCCCCGCCGCCGUCCUUGGGAAAUACCCGGCUUGGCUCGGAGCUAGCCCCGCGCAAGGGGGCUUGGCGGAGCUGCUGUCUCCGCGCCCCCCUUCUCGGAAAAGGAGUCGCUGCAAAGCCGGGGCGUGUUGUUGGGGGGGCGCCCCAAACAGGUCGGGGGUGUUUUGUGCCGCCUGGGGGACGCGCCGCGCGGCUGCUGCUGGAGGACCCGGUCCCACGUGGAAUUAUCUCUCUCUCUCCAUCCGUUUUUGGUGAUGUAUUUUUGGGUCCCUUUGUGUGGAAUAUACGCUCACCCGAUCAUCUGACUCGAUCCCCAUCCUGCUUGGUGAACUGAAGAAGCUGGUCCAAUAAAAGAUAUUACCUCGCCCACGUUCCCUCUCUGGUAUCCUGGGGCCGACAUGACGACAUCUGGUCUUUCAGUACUUGUCCUCCAGAGAAACCUACCAUCAACAGGGGAGCUGUGGAGCUCAGAUUCAGAACUUCGCUAGACACCAAGAGCCGUGGACUUAACAGGGACACAGCGAAUGCAUGCCGAGCUGUAUUUCCCACAGCAGUAGCAACCGUUCAUCCUCUCUGCCUAGGCAGUGAUUGCAGCACACAGUGCCAGGUCGAUCUGGCUUCCUUUCAUGGAUCUCUUCCCUGGAGCGUGUGGCAGCCGAGAGAGAGCUAGCCGCCACAGGCCAAGGGGAGCAGGAAACCCGAAUGAUCUCGUGCCAUGGAACCGCAACCACUGACACUCAAGGAAAGGAUCCUUGGACGCCAUAGACCCAUUCACGUCGCUGGGCUGCCUGGUGGGGACACGAGCAGCCUCUCUGAAAUGGGGAGCCUCACUAGGAUAUUCUGGAGCUUUCUUCUGUUGCAGUUUAUUUCCACUUCUUAGAGUCACCUUCCUAUUGUCACCCAGUCAUUUUGUUUUUAGUGGUGAGAUCUCUGAGGGACACUUAUCUUUGUCCCCCGCACCUCUCCUUGAUCUAGAUGAGAUAGGAACUGACUCCUACACGAUUUGGGUAAAAGUCCUCUUCCCUUUCCUAAAAUCACAGGGAACUAACUAGACUCUGCCGAGUAAGUAGUGGAGACUGUUUGUUUUCCUUCUUUCCCUGGAGGUAGCUUUUCCAGCGUCUGUCUGUCCUGGACGGUUUAUAUUUUGGGUAAACCCCAAGAACACUGAGUUUACUUUGAGAAAUAUCCCCUUGGGUGGAACCAGCUAAAGAAAGAUGGUGGCUGGGGGAGAACUGGGACUCUCCUGUUCGCAGGGUUUGUUUGAAGGUUUCUGUGGUCUGAGCAGAGGGUGGCCACAAGAGCCUGAGGAUGUUUGGUAUGAGAUCAUGCGGCUGCUUAUUUAGGGACCACCAGCGAGCUCCCGAGUGCUUCAGAAACCAGCCCGCUGCCACCUUUUGAUAUUGCGAAGGCGACUAUUGAGAAACCCUUUUUAACUGGGGCUGGUGGAAGACUGGGAGGGAAGCUGUGUUCUUUGGUGAUGGGAGCCACUGCUCGCAACUGCAACGAGGAUGGAAUGUUUAACAGUGGCUAAACUGUGUGGCGCAUGAAAGAUGCUGGUGGGUUGUUCAACUGGGGGGUGAGGGGGCCCCUGGCUGGCUUUGGAGACCACCAGGGCUCUGUAGGGUGUCUGGAGUUCACACAAAGCGAUGUGUUCAAAUGCCUCAUGCUGCCUUCAUCUUUAAAUACGAGCCUGGUGGGU